AAUCUUCGGCAAUGGACGAAAGUCUGACCGAGCAACGCCGCGUGAGUGAAGAAGGUCUUCGGAUUGUAAAGCACUUUAUGUUGGGAGGAAGGGUUGGAGGUUAAUACCCUGCAAUUUUGACGUUACCAACAGAAUAAGCACCGGCUAACUUCGUGCCAGCAGCCGCGGUAAUACGAAGGGUGCAAGCGUUAAUCGGAAUUACUGGGCGUAAAGCGCGCGUAGGUGGUUCGUUAAGUUGGAAGUGAAAGCCCCGGGCUUAACCUGGGAAUUGCUUUCAAAACUGACGAGCUAGAGUACGGUAGAGGGUAGUGGAAUUUCCUGUGUAGCGGUGAAAUGCGUAGAUAUAGGAAGGAACAUCAGUGGCGAAGGCGACUACCUGGACUGAUACUGACACUGAGGUGCGAAAGCGUGGGGAGCAAACAGG
rnacentral:rRNA from 1 species